CUACAGCUACAACCGCUCUGAGCAAGUUUUAAGUGCUAUGAUAGCCGCUUGGGAUGGCGAGUCUAAGUUUAUUA
rfam:Tetragenococcus halophilus NBRC 12172 DNA, complete genome.